AGUCUCUCUCCAGAAUGGCUGGCUCAGCUUGUCUCCUGACAAAUUCUUGCACAUUCACUGUAAAUUAUUUGCCCUUUUUGAAUGUUAAUUUUUGUUGAUCAAUCCCCCCAUUGCAUAUGUCCCCAGCAGUAAACGUAUGUAGGCCUAAUGGGGAAUUGACCAAAAAGAGAGGAAGGGGGGCAGUGAGGCGAAUCAACCUGAAUUGAUCAUGUUUUUUUAUUUGUCGGUUUUAUGCAUUUCGACUUAGUUGACAAUGGAAGUCCUAGGACUACUGCUGCAUUGGCCUAUAGGCUAUGAGUCGCUCUCGUUUCCACGCGCUCGUUUCUUUUAACUGCCAAAGGAUCACGUGUAUCAAUGUGACGUGCCCUCGCAUAAGUUACAUUUUUUACUUUCGCAUUUUUACGAUGAGCCACGUGACAAUGACUAUGAGAAACCCAAACGGUAUUAUUAGAACUGUUCCAGGAAAAUGUGCACAUGAAAAUCGUGACUGGCACACAGAUCGAUAGAAAUGGGAGGAGAAAUUAUAAGGUACCCCCAAAUUUGAAACUCACGCAUCGCCUAUGACGUCUAUAAAAGAUUUGCCUCCAUGUUUCCAUGGUCAGAUUUGCCUACAGGCUCCUAUGAAGCAAGGUAAGACGUCCCUGGUCAGAUUUGCCUAUAGGCUCCUAUGAAGCAAGGUAAGACGUCCCUGGUCAGAUUUGCCUAUAGGCUCCUACGAAGCAAGGUAAGACGUCCCUGGUCAGAUUUGCCUAUAGGCUCCUACGAAGCAAGGUAAGACGUCCCUGGUCAGAUUUGCCUAUAGGCUCCUACGAAGCAAGGUAAGACGUCCCUGGUCAGAUUUGCCUAUAGGCUCCUACGAAGCAAGGUAAGACGUCCCUGGUCAGAUUUGCCUAUAGGCUCCUACGAAGCAAGGUAAGACGUCCCUGGUCAGAUUUGCCUAUAGGCUCCUACGAAGCAAGGUAAGACGUCCCUGGUCAGAUUUGCCUAUAGGCUCCUACGAAGCAAGGUAAGACGUCCCUGGUCAGAUUUGCCUAUAGGCUCCUACGAAGCAAGGUAAGACGUCCCUGGUCAGAUUUGCCUAUAGGCUCCUAUGAAGCAAGGUAAGUCGUCCCUGGUCAGAUUUGCCUACAGGCUGCUCUGCUAUGAAGCAAGGUAUGUCGUCCCUGGUCAGAUUUGCCUAUAGGCUCCUAUGAAGCAAGGUAAGACGUCCCUGGUCAGAUUUGCCUAUAGGCUGCUAUGAAGCAAGGUAAGACGUCCCUGGUCAGAUUUGCCUAUAGGCUGCUAUGAAGCAAGGUAAGACGUCCCUGGUCAGAUUUGCCUAUAGGCUGCUAUGAAGCAAGGUAAGACGUCCCUGGUCAGAUUUGCCUAUAAGCUGCUCUGCUAUGAAGCAAGGUAAGACGUCCAUGGUCAGAUUUGCCUAUAAGCUGCUCUGCUAUGAAGCAAGGUAAGUCGUCCCUGGUCAGAUUUGCCUAUAGGCUGCUCUGCUAUGAAGCAAGGUAAGACGUCCCUGGUCAGAUUUGCCUAUAGGCUGCUCUGCUAUGAAGCAAGGUAAGACGUCCCUGGUCAGAUUUGCCUAUAGGCUUCUCUGCUAUGAGGCAAGGUAAGUCGUCCCUGGUCAGAUUUGCCUAUAGGCUGCUCUGCUAUGAAGCAAGGUAAGUCGUCCCUGGUCAGAUUUGCCUAUAGGCUGCUCUGCUAUGAAGCAAGGUAAGACAUGCCUUUUAUAAUAUGAAGUAAAACAGUCAGGUUUCAAACUAUUAAGUAGGCCUGUGUUUUCAGAAUGCAUACUGCCUCCAGCUCACAUUGUAAAGUGGUGGUGACGCACUGAUAGCCUGUUGCCUGCACUUUAAUGGUGAAUGGGAGGCGUGCUUCAAUUAGGCUACCAGUUGAGAAAUAAAAAUAGUAGGCCUAGUUCUUUUUAAUUGUUCACCAAAACUUAACACGAGUGCAUUUCAAAUUGUUGCACAAUGAACAGGCUUUUACAAAAGCACACGUUGUACUUCAGCAGCACCGGCCCGAGGAGCUGCAGGAGAAACAUCCUGCUCAAAAUAGGCUCUGUAUGCUGUGUACGUGUGACAGUUGUGUUGGAUAAAAAAGAUAGGCCACAUGAUGACUAACGAAAAUACACACAUAGCAAUUUAAUUCCACUAUAUUAUGCAAAUUAACCUGUAGACCAGCGUUUCCCAAACUCGGUCCUGGGACCCCAAAGUGUCCCUGUUUUUGUUUUUGCCCUAACACUAUACAGCUGGUUUUAAAAUAAUCAAAGCUUGAUGAUUAGCUGAUUGAUUUGAAUCAGCUGUGUAGUGCUAGGUGACCCUUUGGGGUCCCCAGGACCAGGUUUGGGAAAUGCUGCUAUAGACUGAUAAGCAUGAUGGUCAAAUGUGUUUCUAACGGAAACCCUGGUAUGCACACAGCAUGCUUUCUUCUGCAAGUGUGUGUGUGUGUGUGUGUGUGUGUGUGUGUGUGUGUGUGUGUGUGU